rnacentral:rRNA from 1 species
AUUGAACGCUGGCGGCAUGCCUUACACAUGCAAGUCGAACGGCAGCACGGGAGCAAUCCUGGUGGCGAGUGGCGAACGGGUGAGUAAUGUAUCGGAACGUGCCCAGUCGUGGGGGAUAACGUAGCGAAAGCUACGCUAAUACCGCAUACGAUCUAUGGAUGAAAGCGGGGGACCGUAAGGCCUCGCGCGAUUGGAGCGGCCGAUAUCAGAUUAGGUAGUUGGUGGGGUAAAGGCCUACCAAGCCGACGAUCUGUAGCUGGUCUGAGAGGACGACCAGCCACACUGGGACUGAGACACGGCCCAGACUCCUACGGGAGGCAGCAGUGGGGAAUUUUGGACAAUGGGCGCAAGCCUGAUCCAGCAAUGCCGCGUGCAGGAUGAAGGCCUUCGGGUUGUGAACUGCUUUUGUACGGAGCGAAAAGGCUCUCUCUAAUACAGGGGGCUCAUGACGGUACCGUAAGAAUAAGCACCGGCUAACUACGUGCCAGCCGCCGCCGUAAUAC